UACGUAGGGGGCAAGCGUUAUCCGGAUUUACUGGGUGUAAAGGGAGCGUAGACGGCAGUGCAAGUCUGAAGUGAAAGGCGGGGGCCCAACCCCCGAACUGCUUUGGAAACUGUGCUGCUGGAGUGCAGGAGAGGCAAGUGGAAUUCCUAGUGUAGCGGUGAAAUGCGUAGAUAUUAGGAGGAACACCAGUGGCGAAGGCGGCUUGCUGGACUGUAACUGACGUUGAGGCUCGAAAGCGUGGGGAGCAGACAGG
rnacentral:rRNA from 1 species